rnacentral:rRNA from 2 species
GGGUAGUUUGACUGGGGCGGUCUCCUCCUAAAGAGUAACGGAGGAGCACGAAGGUCAGCUAAUCCUGGUCGGACAUCAGGAGGUUAGUGCAAUGGCAUAAGCUGGCUUGACUGCGAGCGUGACGGCGCGAGCAGGUGCGAAAGCAGGUCAUAGUGAUCCGGUGGUUCUGAAUGGAAGGGCCAUCGCUCAACGGAUAAAAGGUACUCCGGGGAUAACAGGCUGAUACCGCCCAAGAGUUCAUAUCGACGGCGGUGUUUGGCACCUCGAUGUCGGCUCAUCACAUCCUGGGGCUGAAGUAGGUCCCAAGGGUAUGGCUGUUCGCCAUUUAAAGUGGUACGCGAGCUGGGUUUAGAACGUCGUGAGACAGUUCGGUCCCUAUCUGCCGUGGGCGCUGGAGAAUUGAGGGGGGCUGCUCCUAGUACGAGAGGACCGGAGUGGACGCAUCACUGGUGUUCGGGUUGUCAUGCCAAUGGCAUUGCCCGGUAGCUAAAUGCGGAAGAGAUAAGUGCUGAAAGCAUCUAAGCACGAAACUUGCCCCGAGAUGAGUUCUCCCUGACUCCUUGAGAGUCCUGAAGGAACGUUGAAGACGACGACGUUGAUAGGCCGGGUGUGUAAGCGCAGCGAUGCGUUGAGCUAACCGGUACUAAUGAACCGUGAGGCUUAACCUU